GUGGAACACAAGGGCCUGUGCUUGUAAGACAGACAGUUGGGAAUGUAAGUAGAGCCUCGCUUCUUUGGAGGUUCCGUGGAAUCUAUGGCUGGUUGGUUCAAAUACGCGUACUUGCUUUUUGUCCACCUGCACAUCUCAAGGAUAAGCGUAAAUCUAAAUACAUUUGGGUGAUGAUUGCCUAGGCACCGAUGCCUCUAUAAACUGAGCUUCUGGGAAUUGUCCAAGGGCCCAAAUCCUGCUGGGAUGUGGGAUUCAGAAAAGUUCAAGCAGGUGGUGACUCUGCAGAAACUCUCAACUUGCUUACCAGAGAGGACCACACAAAUCACCUUUUGCUGAUCUGAUCUAUGAAGCUCGCAACCUUAUCUUCAGAGAUUGGCUUGUUCAGAUUAAUUUCAUGAAUAGAGAAAAGUUAAUGAAUGUGCUAAUUUUUUUAGACCACAGGGUUCUUACUGUGACUGAUUUCUUUUGUACUGGUAUAUAUAGUCAGACACCCUCUUUUUGUUCAAGAGUGGUGGAUUUACAUAAAUCUAGCUGAUCGUUUGUAACUGUAGUUUUAAUCAUUAAUAAUAAUGAUAUUUUCCUC